rnacentral:lncRNA from 1 species
GUCCCCCUCCCCCUAGGGCCACUCUGCUCCCUCCUUUGGGACCAGAAGGAGUUGGGCUUAUGGACUGACCCCCUCGCCCUCUGCCUUCUAGCUGGGUUUGGCCAGUGGCGUCGUCAGCAGGAGACCCGGAGCCUCAGCAGGAGGAGGGAGGGGAGCAACCCCGUGUGGAGGCUUCAACACGGCCCCUCUCCAGAGCUGCUGUCCCCCGUGCAUCUCACCGAAGCCUCGGACCCUCCCCAUGAAACACAUCGUCGUGCCCAUUUUACAGGAAAGGAAGCUGGGGCCCUACGUGAUGAUCUGAUCUGGGGAGGAUCGGCGUAAAGAGUGCUGCCCCAGUGUAGACAGAGUGUUUGGACUCAACGCUGGGGUCUGACGACCAGGACCUCACAAGAAUAUUUUUGGAACCAGACAAAGAGGGAGGAUGAUGCUAGUUCUGGCUCAAUGGUUCUUCACCAGAGGGUGAUGUCACCCCUCGGGACGUGUGGCAAUGUCCGAGAUAUUUCUGAUUGUCUGACUGAGGGGUCCUCGGGUGGCACCCCUGGCAGGUGGUGGGCAGAGGCCAGGGAUGCUGGUAGACAUCCCACAAGCACAGGACGGCCCCCACACAAAGGACUGACGCCCCCUGCCCAGCACCCAGGCUGGGGCACCCGCACAGAGCACUGGAAUUGGGAGAGGAGACUGGUUGGCUGUGGGUCGUUCCCACCACCGGCCUGACUCUCCGUGAUGCGAAGCAGUGCCUGCUGGGCCCUGCAGCGCCGGCUGUCACCCCUUGAGUCCCCAGGCCCGGGCGCCGGGGCGCGGCCUCUGCUCUCCACGAUGCGCGUGCAGCCUGCAGGGGGAGGUCAGACACGGCCGCCGCGCCCGAGGCAAGGCUGAAGCCACGAGGGGUCAGGGGCUGAGGAUGGCAUGAGGAACCCGGGGGCAAGGAUGGAACCUGGGUGUCGGCAGCUGAUUUUAAUGACCCCAGCUCCGUCUCCUCCCUCCCCGAUUUUGAUGCGAUGAGAAACAACCCUCUUGCUUAAAUAAAAC